CGCAGAGUGUAAAGGCACAAGGGAGCUUGACUGCGAGACCUACAAGUCGAGCAGGGACGAAAGUCGGGCUUAGUGAUCCGGUGGUUCCGCAUGGAAGGGCCAUCGCUCAACGGAUAAAAGCUACCCCGGGGAUAACAGGCUUAUCUCCCCCAAGAGUCCACAUCGACGGGGAGGUUUGGCACCUCGAUGUCGGCUCAUCACAUCCUGGGGCUGUAGUCGGUCCCAAGGGUUGGGCUGUUCGCCCAUUAAAGCGGUACGCGAGCUGGGUUCAGAACGUCGUGAGACAGUUCGGUCCCUAUCCGUCGCGGGCGCAGGAAAUUUGAGAGGAGCUGUCCUUAGUACGAGAGGACCGGGAUGGACGCACCGCUGGUGUACCAGUUGUUCUGCCAAGGGCAUCGCUGGGUAGCUAUGUGCGGACGGGAUAAGUGCUGAAAGCAUCUAAGCAUGAAGCCCCCCUCAAGAUGAGAUUUCCCAUUCCGCAAGGAAGUAAGAUCCCUGAAAGAUGAUCAGGUUGAUAGGUCUGAGGUGGAAGUGUGGCGACACAUGGAGCUGACAGAUACUAAUCGAUCGAGGACUUAACCAUAUUU
rnacentral:rRNA from 1 species